rnacentral:rRNA from 1 species
AUUGAACGCUGGCGGCAUGCUUUACACAUGCAAGUCGGACGAGUGGCGAACGGGUGAGUAACGCCUCGGAAAGUACCGAGUAAUGGGGGAUAACUGUCCGAAAGGACAGCUAAUACCGCAUACUAUUCGCGCUGCCGAUGGCGGAUUAACUGGUUGGCGGGGUAAAGGCUCAUCAAGGCGACGAUCAGUAGCUGGUCUGAGAGGAUGAACGGCCACACUGGGACUGAGACACGGUCCAGACUCCUACGGGAGGCAGCAGUGGGGAAUUUUGGACAAUGGGCGCAAGCCUGAUCCAGCCAUGCCGCGUGUUUGAAGAAGGCCUUCGGGUUGUAAAGUACUUUUGUCAGGGAAGCGGUACCUGAAGAAUAAGCACCGGCUAACUACGUGCCAGCAGCCGCGGUAAUAC